ACUUGCUCAGAUAAGACUACAGAAACAAUCGAAGCAGUUAGCAGAGUGGAACACUGUUGCCUUCUCAUAUGAACUUACAGCUACUAAACACAAAGAGCUGCAGAUGACCCCUAAGGAUUCUAAACUGGUGAUGCUAAAAAACUGGUGAUACACUACAAUCAACAAGAUUGAUUCACAACAAGUGUUUGGCUGCAUAUAAGAAACUUUCAUCGUAUGAGGUCUCCCGGUGGGUUGUUGAAAGGAUGGUCAGUCUUCAUGACCAAUAUGAAGAAGACUGGAUCAUCAGAUUUUUUUGAUCUUGGCUUGUAAUUCUUUGCUGUUCCCAACAAUCCAAGCAAGGCAUGUUGCAACACCCCACAUCCAAGGAUGUAUUCUUU